rnacentral:rRNA from 1 species
GACGAACGCUGGCGGCGUGCUUAACACAUGCAAGUCGAACGGAAAGGCCCUGCUUUUGUGGGGUGCUCGAGUGGCGAACGGGUGAGUAACACGUGAGUAACCUGCCCUUGACUUUGGGAUAACUUCAGGGAACUGGGGCUAAUACCGGAUAGGAGCUCCUGCUGCAUUGUGGUGGUUGGAAAGGUUCGGCGGUUGGGGAUGGACGCGCGGCUUAUCAGCUUGUUGGUGGGGUAGUGGCGUACCACGGCUUUGACGGGUAGCCGGCCUGAGAGGGUGACCGGCAACAUUGGGACUGAGAUACGGCCCAGACGCCUACGGGAGGCAGCAGUGGGGAAUAUUGCACAGUGGGCGGAAGCCUGAUGCAGCAACGCCGCGUGCGGGAUGACGGCCUUCGGGUUGUAAACCGCUUUCGCCUGUGACGAAGCGUGAGUGACGGUAAUGGGUUAAGAAGCACCGGCUAACUACGUG